AUGCAAAAGAAGAAAGAUGUUGACAAUGAUAUUGUUAAAUUAAAGCUCUUUCCUUUUUCGCUUAGAGAUCGUGCUAAAGCUUGGUUUUCGUCUUUGCCUAAAAAUAGUAUUGAUUCUUGGAACAAGUGCAAAGAUGCUUUUAUCUCUAAGUAUUUUCCUCCCGCUAAGAUCAUCUCUCUUAGAAAUGAUAUUAUGAAUUUUAAGCAACUUGAUCAUGAACAUGUUGCACAAGCUUGGGAGAAGAUGAAAUUAAUGAUAUGUAAUUGCCCUACUCAUGGUUUGAAUUUAUGGAUGAUUAUACAAAAAAUUUAUGCCGGAUUGAAUUUUGCUUCUAUAAAUCUUUUAGAUUCGGCCGCGAGAGGCACUUUUAUGGAAAUCACUUUAGGAGAAGCUACUAAACUCCUAGAUAAUAUUAUGGUUAAUUAUUCUCAAUGGCACACUGAAAGAUCUACUAAUAAAAAAGUGCAUGCAAUAGAAGAAAUUAAUGUUUUGAGUGGAAAGAUGGAUGAACUUAUGAAAUUAUUUGCUACUAAGAGUGUUUCUUCUGAUCCUAAUGAUAUGCCUUUUUCUACUUUCAUUGAGAAUAAUAAUGAAUCUAUGGAUGUGAAUUUUGUUGGUAGGAAUAAUUUUGGUAACAACGCGUAUAGAGGAAACUUUAAUCCCAGGCCUUAUCCUAGCAAUUCCUCUAAUAAUUAUGGUAAUUCCUACAACAACUCUUAUGGAAAUUUUAAUAAGAUGCCCUCUGAAUUUGAAACUAGUGUUAAAGAGUUUAUGAAUUCGCAAAAUAAUUUCAAUGCUAUGCUUGAAGAGAAAUUGCUUAAAGUUGAUGAAUUGGCUAGGAACGUUGAUAGAAUUUAUCUUGAUGUUGAUUCUUUAAAGCUUAGAUCUAUUCCUCCUAAGCAUGAUAUCAAUGAGUCUCUCAAAGCCAUGAGAAUUUCCAUUGAUGAGUGCAAAGAAAGAACCGCUAGAAUGCGUGCUAAGAAAGAUUGCUUUAUGAAAACGUGUUUUUCAAAUUUCUAUGAAAAUAAAGAUGAAGAUCUAAAAGUUAUUGAUGUGUCCCCUAUUAAAUCUUUGUUUUGCAAUAUGAAUCUUGAUAAUGAUGGGACUGAAUAUGAUCCACCUUUACCUAGAAGGCGUUCAAAAAAUUCGGAGUUUUUAGAGCUUGAUGCUAAAAUUGACAAAAGUGGGAUUGAAGAAAUCAAAACCCUAGAUCUUAAACCCACUAUUUUGGAUUUCAAGGAAUUUAAUUAUGAAAAUUGCUCUUUGAUAGAUUGUAUUUCCUUGUGGCAAUCCGUGCUAAAUUCUCCUCAUGCUUAUAGUCAAAAUAAAGCGUUUACUAAACAUAUCGUUGAUGCCUUGAUGCAAUCUUAUGAAGAAAAGCUUGAGUUGGAAGUUUCUAUUCCUAGAAAACUUUAUGAUGAGUGGGAACCUACUAUUAAAAUUAAGAUUAAGGAUCAUGAGUUCUAUGCUUUAUGUGAUUUGGGUGCUAGUGUUUCCACUAUUCCCAAAACUUUGUGCGAUUUGCUAGAUUUCCGUGAUUUUGAUGAUUGCUCUCUAAACUUGCACCUUUCGGAUUCCACUAUUAAGAAACCUAUGGGAAGAAUUAAUGAUGUUCUUAUUGUUGCAAAUAGGAAUUAUGUGCCCGUAGAUUUUAUCGUUCUUGAUAUAGAUUGCAAUCCUUCAUGUCCUAUUAUUCUUGGUAGACCUUUCCUUAGAACGAUUGGUGCAAUUAUUGAUAUGAAGGAAGGGAAUAUUAGAUUCCAAUUUCCAUUAAAGAAAGGCAUGGAACACUUUCCUAGGAAGAAAAUAAAAUUACCAUAUGAAUCUAUCAUGAGAUCCACUUAUGGAUUGCCUACCAAAGAUGGCAAUACCUAA
rnacentral:rRNA from 1 species